rnacentral:rRNA from 1 species
UACAUUAGAUACCCGGGUAGUCCCAGCCGUAAACUAUGCUCGCUAGGUGUCAGGCAUGGCGCGACCGUGUCUGGUGCCGCAGGGAAGCCGUGAAGCGAGCCACCUGGGAAGUACGGCCGCAAGGCUGAAACUUAAAGGAAUUGCGGGGGAGCACAACAACGGGUGGAGCCUGCGGUUUAAUUGGACUCAACGCCGGACAACUCAUCGGGGACGACAGCAAUAUGUAGGCCAGGCUGGAGACCUUGCCUGAAUCGCUG